rnacentral:rRNA from 1 species
UACGAAGGGGGCUAGCGUUGCUCGGAAUCACUGGGCGUAAAGCGCACGUAGGCGGAUCUUUAAGUCAGGGGUGAAAUCCCAAGGCUCAACCUUGGAACUGCCUUUGAUACUGGGGAUCUCGAGUCCGGAAGAGGUGAGUGGAACUGCGAGUGUAGAGGUGAAAUUCGUAGAUAUUCGCAAGAACACCAGUGGCGAAGGCGGCUCACUGGUCCGGUACUGACGCUGAGGUGCGAAAGCGUGGGGAGCAAACCGG